rfam:Picea glauca, whole genome shotgun sequence.
UGUUAUGUACAUUCCUAUAACGUUAAUGCACCUAAUCCCAUUAUAAAUCUGCAGUUAAGCAUGCUUGAGAUAGGGUAGUACUAGGAUGGGUGAUUACCCAAGAAGUCCUAGUGUUUUUUAUGC